UGGGGAAUUUUGGACAAUGGGGGCAACCCUGAUCCAGCCAUCCCGCGUGUGCGAUGAAGGCCUUCGGGUUGUAAAGCACUUUUGGCAGGGAAGAAACGGCGCGCCUUAACAGGGGGCGUCACUGACGGUACCUGCAGAAUAAGCACCGGCUAACUACGUGCCAGCAGCCGCGGUAAUACGUAGGGUGCAAGCGUUAAUCGGAAUUACUGGGCGUAAAGCGUGCGCAGGCGGUUUGGCAAGAAAGAUGUGAAAUCCCAGAGCUUAACUUUGGAACUGCAUUUUUAACUGCCAGGCUAGAGUGUGUCAGAGGGGGGUAGAAUUCCACGUGUAGCAGUGAAAUGCGUAGAGAUGUGGAGGAAUACCGAUGGCGAAGGCAGCCCCCUGGGAUAACACUGACGCUCAGGCACGAAAGCGUGGGGAGCAAACAGG
rnacentral:rRNA from 1 species